UUAAAUGUAUUCUGUAAAAUCAAUUACCAAUAGAUAAGUAGUUAUAUAUGUUUAUUAACAUAUAAAUCACUUGUUGAGAGUAAACAUUAGUUGAUGUCUUGAAAAAUAUAAAUUUCUGUGUAAACUUUUAAUGAUUAUAGAAUAUAUACAGCUGUCUCAAUGAUUAUGGCUAAAGGAGAUUGAUAACAUGAUACAAAUUAAACUUAUACUUGAUUCUGGCUGAUCUUGAAAGAAUAUACAACAAUUUUCAAUAACUUGGAAAAAUCUUUUAAUGAAGUACAAAAAUUAAAAAAGAAAUAUAAAAUAAUUGACUAUUGUUGGAAUGUUUAAAUAUUGAAAAUAUAAUUAAUCAAGAAUUGAAGAAUAAAAUUAUGCUGUUAAUUUGAUUACACUAUUAAAAUCCUUAGUUAUAUUCUACAGUAAAAUAAUUCACAGUAAAAAAAUUGUGUGAAAUUCAUAGAUUUUUAAUUCCAAUUCGAAAUGUUGAUAAGUAUGAUUUACUUUUUUAACUGUUAUUGGGGUGCGCCCCGUAUACGCUUCCUUGCAGUGCACCCUGGUAACAAGUUGAUAACCCGUUAUCGAUUUGGCUAAAGUAUACGGAAUCUUGGUCAGUGGACUGCGCCUUCAGCAUCUCCCACUAAAUAUUAUUCAAUUGUUAGAAUUUCAAAAAUUAAGAAAAGGAAAUUUCACUUGACACAGAUAAUUUUUAAUACUGUAAUAUACUAUAUAUUAACAAACUACUAAGAUUGGAAUUUACUAUAAUUUAUUAU